rnacentral:rRNA from 1 species
UACGAGAGGCCCAAACGUUAUUCGGAUUUACUGGGCUUAAAGAGUUCGUAGGCGGUCUGGUAAGUGGGGUGUGAAAUCCCUCGGCUCAACCGAGGAAUUGCGCUCCAAACUGCUAGGCUUGAGGGAGAUAGAGGUGAGCGGAACUGAUGGUGGAGCGGUGAAAUGCGUUGAUAUCAUCAGGAACACCAGAGGCGAAGGCGGCUCACUGGGUCUUUUCUGACGCUGAGGAACGAAAGCUAGGGGAGCAAAC